GACGAACGCUGGCGGCGUGCCUAACACAUGCAAGUCGAGCGGAGGUACUGAAGAAGCAAUUUGGAAGUACUUUAGCGGCGGACGGGUGAGUAACGCGUGAGCGACCUACCUUACACAGGGGGGAUAACGGAGGGAAACCUUCACUAAUACCGCAUAAGACCACAGCAUCGCAUGAUGCGGGGGUCAAAGGAGAAAUCCGGUGAAAGAUGGGCUCGCGUCCUAUUAGAUAGUUGGUGGGGUAACGGCCUACCAAGUCAACGAUGGGUAGCCGACCUGAGAGGGUGAUCGGCCACAUUGGGAACUGAGAGACGGUCCAAACUCCUACGGGAGGCUG
rnacentral:rRNA from 1 species